rfam:Myotis davidii contig38988, whole genome shotgun sequence.
GGUGGUUCUCAGGUGACGCACCCCAGAAUCGGGCUCCCUCCUCUCUGGUUCUGGGUGUGUCAUCCCAGAACUGCA